rnacentral:lncRNA from 1 species
GUCCGUGGUUCAUAGGUUGCUUCAAUUACCUCUUGUUUCCUUCCUUUCGUUUUUCUUUGUUGUUCGUCUACCAUUUUGCUUCCUUUCUUUGUUCUUUGUCGUUGUUAGGCGUCCAUUUUUCCAAAACCCAUUAGGGUUUCUUGUCUACUGUUGAAACUCGUGAGAAUUCCAUUGAAGUGAUACAAGAAGGUCAGUAACUAUUUUUCCUAAUCUUGUAGGUGUUAGUAUUUUUGUUUACAUUUUCGUUUUUUGGUCGAUUAAGCGUGUCCUUGUUGGGUAUUUUGAUUGAAGAUCCGAAAUGUUUGUUGGGCAAAUUUGAAAACCAAAAGUAGUUGUUCAUGUUUAUAGUGGUUCAUUAUAUAAUCCUUCAUUUUGUUUUAUAGUUUUUUAUCCCAGUCUUGAUACUUCGGGAUUUUGACUACUGAACAUUGCUAUAUUUCAUCCACAUGCUAUAAAGUUGUUAAUUUCUGGAGGAGGUGCAGUCCUGGAAGCGACGUCGAAGCUUCUGGAGCCUUCUAGCGACGAUCGCCGAAGAAUUCGCGACUAGGUUUUUCCGCCCACGAGAAAGGGGGAAAAACGGAUAAAACUGUCGCUGGAGAGAGAAGAAAGGGGAAGAAUGAUUUGGGGGGAAAUAUGAAAAAAUGUUAAUCUUUUACUUUGAUUAACUUGUGUAAUUCUUAUUUUAUUAAACCCAGUUUACAACCCAAUCAUUUAU